CCGGCGCACGGGUGAGUAACACGUAUCCAACCUGCCGUCUACUCUUGGCCAACCUUCUGAAAGGAAGAUUAAUCCAGGAUGGCAUCAUGAGUUCACAUGUCCGCAUGAUUAAAGGUAUUUUCCGGUAGACGAUGGGGAUGCGUUCCAUUAGAUAGUAGGCGGGGUAACGGCCCACCUAGUCAACGAUGGAUAGGGGUUCUGAGAGGAAGGUCCCCCACAUUGGAACUGAGACACGGUCCAA
rnacentral:rRNA from 1 species